rfam:Amborella trichopoda AMTR_V1.0_contig_12425, whole genome shotgun sequence.
UACCUGAUUGAUCCUGCCAGUAGUCAUAUGCUCGUCUCAAAGAUUAAGCCAUGCAUGUGUAAGUAUGAACUAAUUCAGACUGUGAAACUGCGAAUGGCUCAUUAAAUCAGUUAUAGUUUGUUUGAUGGCACCUGCUACUCGGAUAACCAUAGUAAUUGUAAAGCUAAUACGUGCAAGAAAUCUCGACCUCUGGAAGGGAUGCAUUUAUUAGAUAAAAGGCCAGAGCGGGCUUUGCCCGAUGCUUUGGUGAAUCAUGAAAGCUCGACCGAUCGCAUGACCAUUGUGCUGGUGAUGCAUCAUUUAAAUUUAUGCCCUAUCAACUUUCGAUGGUAGGAUAGGGGCCUUCCAUCGUGGUGACGGGUGACAGAGAAUUAGGGUUCGAUUCUGAAGAGGGAGCCUGAGAAACGGCUACCACAUCCAAGGAAGGCAGCAGGCUCGCAAAUUACCUAAUCCUGACACGGGGAGGUAGUGACAAUAAAUAACAAUAUCGGGCUCCAAGAGUUUGGUAAUUGGAAUGAGUACAAUCUAAAACCCUUAAGGAGGAUCCAAUGGAGGGCAAGUCUAGUGUCAGUAGCCGCGGUAAUUCUAGCUCCAAUAGCACAUAUUUAAGUUGUUGCAGUUAAAAUGCUCGUAGUUGGUUCUUGGGCUGGGCCGACCGGUUUGCCUUCAUGGUGUGCACCGGCCUUCCCGUCCCUUCACUAGGCGAUGCGUUCCUGGCCUUAACUGGCCGGGCCGUGCCUCCGGCACCGUUACUUUGAAAAAAUUAGAGUAUUCAAAGAAAGCCUACGCUCUGAAUACGUUAGCAUGGGAUAACAUCACAAGAUUUCGGUUCCAUUGUGUUGACCUUCAGAAUCAAAGUAAUGAUUAAGACGGGCAGUCGGGGUCAUUUGUAUUUCAUAGUAAGAGGUGAAAUUCUUGGAUUUAUGAAACACGAACCAUUGCAAAAGCAUUUGCCAAUGAUGUUUUCGUUAAUCAAGAACGAAAGUUGGGGGCUCGAAGACAAUCAGAUACCGUCCUAGUCUCAACCAUAAACGAUGCCGACUAGGGAUCGGCGGAUGUUGCUCAUAAGACUCCGUCGACACCUUAUGAGAAAUCAAAGUCUUUGGGUUCGGGGGGGAGUAUGAUUGCAAGGCUGAAACUUAAAGGAAUUGACGAAAGGGGACCACCAGGAGUGGAGCCUGCGGCUUAAUUUGACUCAACACGGGGAAACUUACUAGGUCCAGACAUAGUAAGGAUUGAUCGACAGAGAGCUCUUUCUUGAUUCUAUGGGUGGUGGUGCAUGGCCGUUCUUAGUUGGUGGAGCGAUUUGUCUGGUUAAUUUUGUUAACAAACGAGACCUCAACCUGCUAACUAGCUACGCGGAGGUAUCCUCCACGACCAGCUUCUUAGAGGGACUAUGGCUUUUUAGGCCACGAAAGUUUGAGGCAAUAACAGGUCUAUGAUGCCCUUAGAUGUUCUGGGCAGCACGUGUGCUACACUGAUGUAUUCAACGAGUAUAUAGCAUUGGCCGACAGGCCCGGGUAAUCUGUCGAAAUUUCAUCGUGAUGGGGAUAAAUCAUUGCAAUUAUUGGUCUUCAACAAGGAAUUCCUAGUAGGCGCGAGUCAUCAGCUCGCGUUGACUACGUCCCUGCCCUUUGUACACACCGCCCGUCGCUCCUACCGAUUGAAUGGUCCCGUGAAGUGUUGGGAUCACGGCGAUGGAGGCAGUCCGCAGCUAGCGACGUUGUGAGAAGUGCACUGAACCUUAUCAUUUAGAGGAAGGAGGAGUCAUAACAAGGUUUCCAUCGGUGAAUCUACGGAAGGAUCAUUG